rnacentral:rRNA from 1 species
CCUACGGGGGGCUGCAGUGGGGAAUAUUGCACAAUGGGCGCAAGCCUGAUGCAGCCAUGCCGCGUGUGUGAAGAAGGCCUUCGGGUUGUAAAGCACUUUCAGCGGGGAGGAAGGCGUUAAAGUUAAUAACCUUGUCGAUUGACGUUACCCGCAGAAGAAGCACCGGCUAACUCCGUGCCAGCAGCCGCGGUAAUACGGAGGGUGCAAGCGUUAAUUGGAAUUACUGGGCGUAAAGCGCACGCAGGCGGUCUGCCAAGUCGGAUGUGAAAUCCCCGGGCUCAACCUGGGAACUGCAUUCGAAACUGGCAGGCUAGAGUCUUGUAGAGGGGUAGAAUUCCAGGUGUAGCGGUGAAAUGCGUAGAGAUCUGGAGGAAUACCGGUGGCGAAGGCGGCCCCCUGGACAAAGACUGACGCUCAGGUGCGAAAGCGUGGGGAGCAAACAGGAUUAGAUACCCGGGUAGUC